GUGGGUUCACCAGAAGUAGGUAGCCUAACCGCCAGGAGGGCGCUACCACGGUGUGAUUCAUGACUGGGGUGAAGUCGUAACAAGGUAGCCGUAGGUGAACCUGCAGAAGGAUCA
rnacentral:rRNA from 1 species